CGUAGGCAGCGAGCGUUGUUCGGAGUUACUGGGCGUAAAGCGUGCGUAGGCGGUUUUCCAAGUCUGGUGUGAAAUCUCCCGGCUCAACUGGGAGGGUGCGCUAGAAACUGGGAGGCUGGAGUACGGGAGAGGUAGGCGGAAUUCCUGGUGUAGCGGUGAAAUGCGUAGAUAUCAGGAGGAACACCGGUGGUGUAGACGGCCUGCUGGACCGUAACUGACGCUGAGGCACGAAAGCGUGGGGAGCAAACAGGAUUAGAUACCCUGGUAGUCCACGCCCUAAACGAUGCAUACUUGGUGUGGGCAGUUCAGUCUGUCUGUGCCGUAGCUAACGCGUUAAGUAUGCCGCCUGGGGAGUACGGUCGCAAGGCUG
rnacentral:rRNA from 1 species